rnacentral:rRNA from 1 species
CCUACGGGAGGCAGCAGUGGGGAAUUUUCCGCAAUGGGCGAAAGCCUGACGGAGCAAUACCGCGUGAGGGAGGAAGGCUCUUGGGUCGUAAACCUCUUUUCUCAGGGAAGAAGAAAGUGACGGUACCUGAGGAAUAAGCAUCGGCUAACUCCGUGCCAGCAGCCGCGGUAAUACGGAGGAUGCAAGCGUUAUCCGGAAUGAUUGGGCGUAAAGGGUCCGCAGGUGGCUGUGUAAGUCUGCUGUUAAAGAGUCAUGCUUAACAUGAUAAGAGCAGUGGAAACUACAUAGCUAGAGUACGUUCGGGGCAGAGGGAAUUCCUGGUGUAGCGGUGAAAUGCGUAGAUAUCAGGAAGAACACCGGUGGCGAAAGCGCUCUGCUAGGCCGUAACUGACACUGAGGGACGAAAGCUAGGGGAGCGAAUGGGAUUAGAUACCCCAGUAGUCCUAGCCGUAAACGAUGGAUACUAGGCGUGGCUUGUAUCGACCCGAGCCGUGCCGUAGCUAACGCGUUAAGUAUCCCGCCUGGGGAGUACGCACGCAAGUGUGAAACUCAAAAUGAAUUGACGG